UCCCUCUACUCAAACUACAAAUUUUCCAAAUUUGACCUUUCUGCGAAAUACAUACAAAUAACCAGCUCUAGGAAGGGCGCCUUUCUUUUUUACUCUACAAUUUAGAUCUGAUCUCUUUCAACUUCUCGACAGUUUCAAAUCAACGUUAGGUGCUCCCAACUCUACACAACGCGCCAUUCGUCUCCUUCCCAAAGUCGAUAAUCAUCUCCAUCCAAGGUAGUCCACUACAAGGCAUAAUUUAUCGCACAAGGCGUCGUUCAUCUCUUUCCAAAAUACGUACACGGGAGCCUUAUUUUUCAUUUCCUUUAAUCAACAAACCCUUCUUCUCUAUCCUACCCAUUUCUCCUCCAUCUGUAAUAUCCCGUCUGCCCCCUCCAAUCUGCAACGCCGCCACCACCAGCUUCCCCUCAACCUCUGGCAGCUUCGACAGCCCUGCCUCCGCGUCCGCAGACUUCUGCAGGUGAGGGUUUUCUUUUCCUUUACAUAUGAAAAUCGAGUCCAAUGAACUUUUUUCCCCUGAAAAUUGACUAUCAGAUGCCUAUAUUUAGUUGCUUUCUUUUUUCUUUUCUUUUUCCUUUGAAAAUCGAGUUCAAGAUAUUAUGGUUUUUUUGCUCUAUUUUUUUUUGAAAUAAGAUACCCUUUUCUGAUGUAGAUGUUGAGUUUCCUUGAUAUUGAAAUCAUAUGUGGUUUCUCUUUGAGCUGAAUCAAAUGCACACGAAAAUCUGUUAUGACAAUGUUUUCUGCAAAUCAAAUAUUAUUUUCUUUUUUGCUGAAAUAUGAAACUUGAUGUUAUGAUGGUUGAGAUGCUUCAAAUGUUGAAAUACCCUUUAAGUAUUGAAAUGUUGCUUGUAAUUAACUUGAAAUUGAAACAAAUUUGUAUGAAUUUUUUGGUUACGGAUUCAUUAAUAAUAAAACAUGAUACAUGGAAUUGAUAGAAAUCAUAAGAAAUUUAGUUAGUGUCUAAAGGUGAGUGAAGUUUGAACUUCAACACUUAUUAAUCCAACAACAUUCCAUUAACCGAAAUUAAUAUCAAGUUUAUAACUUACAUUCAACAUUCUCUACUAUAGGACAAAUGAAGAUUGGGUAGUUAUUGAUCUAGUGUCUAAUCGAGAUUAAGAUUUUUGAAUUGAAAGCUAAUGAAUAUGUAUGAUAGGGCUAAUCAGUGAGUGGUUCCAUUUUGUUGCAUAUUAAAAUUUAUGCAUCACAACUAGUAUAAGAACUUGUCAAUCGAGAAUUUUUUUUUUUACAUGAAGGGGAGAUAUUGUUGUUGGAACUUGGAAAUGUUUCUAAUAGAGAUCAUUCCUAAUACAUAGAUUCCUGAAAUUUUGAUAGAUUAUGAUAAGAUUUGUAACAAUUUGGUAAGUUUGUUAGAGUUCAGAUGUAGAUUAAGAAUUAAGCACCAAAAUAAUCCCAUAGUAUUCUUGAUGUUUACUAGUGUGAAGUUCUGACUUCCUUAGUAGACCUUAGCUUAAUGGAUAUUUUGGAGUUGAUUGUUGAUUUGUUAAUUGUUAGUUACAUUUUGGUAUUGAUUUGUUAAUUUCCGUUGUUUAGAAGUUGUAGUAUUUUUUUCUCCAAACUUUCAUAUAAAUUUUCAUUGCUUGGGGUCUAGUUCGAUUUUUCAGGUAUCCUACCGGGUUCCAGGUUGGGCUUGGGGAAAAGUUCAAUUCUGAUGAGAUACCCGUUGGGUAUCGGGUCGGGUAUGAGAAUAAUUUUUGAUACCGGGUUCGAGGAUGGGAUACCUAACCUCAUUGCCAUUCCUAGCUCUAUUCCCUAAGACCUGUAAUAUAAACAAAAUGAAUCAGUUUACUCAUAUUUACCAUUUUCAUCUAUACUAAGCAUGUUGGUCAAAAUUACCAUAACUAAAUGCAUCUUACACUCACAAUAAUUGUUUUUUUAAGUCAAUGUAACAUAUUUCGGCACACAUAAUAAAAUACACAUGAUCAUAAACCACUAAAAGUUACUUGUUUUCUUGUUUUUAGUAUGUCACUAGUAGACACCACCAUAUGAACACACAAAUAUUUAAUGUGACCAUAUGUAUCAACUAUUAGCUACAUUACAUUUCAUGUGUCAAAAAAGACGCCACGAUACAGAAACAUAUACAAUUGACUCAUAUCACAAUAUAUUUACCUCUUGUCUCAUAAAAAAAAGUAUCAUAAUGUUAAUCAAUAAUCAUGGCUGAUGGUGACAUGUGGCCACAGUGUUCGAGUGUGGCUAAUAAUUGUCAUAUUUGGUAUAGUUAAGUGUGGUUAAAGUUUUGAUUAUCUAUACAAUGACCACACAAGCUAAUUUAAAUGUAUCCAAAAGUAGGCUGUAAAUUUUUUUUAGAUAGGCCAUUUUUUGAAAAGUGUGACCGUAUGUCAUUUUUGUACUAGUGCAAUAAUAAAAGGUUCCAACUUUUCAUAUAGUAUAUACAAGUUUUCAGCAUUACAGACAUCAAAUAAAGUCAGUGUAAUGGUAAAGGUGUUGCCCUUAACACCCAAAGGUCGCACAUACGAAUAAUGUAAUCCCCAAGAGUGUGUUUUUCAAACAAGCUUAAAAAGUUGGCGUGUCAGCGACAUAGUCAAACUAGACGUGGUUUGCCAUGUAUGUAAGCAACUUGUUUUUUUUUUUUUAACGACGAUAUUAGUAUUUGUCUGGGAUUAAACUCAAGACCUCCUGGUUAGAAACCCUAGUUAGACAUCUUGACUGUAAGCAACUUGUAACCGACAAAACCUGCUGAAAAGCUAUAAACGAAAAAAAUUAAACAAAACUAGCUAUAAACGAAAAAAUUAAACAAAACUUCUGUAAGCAACUUGUGACCGAGAAAACCUUCUAAAAAGCUAUAAACGAAAAAACUAAACAAAACGAUAUUUAUAACCUAAAAUAGGUCAAAGGGUAAAACCAAAGAAUUUCUCAAAAUAACUUAAUGACUUUUAUUUCAUUAGCCCUAUUAGCUAAAAGCUUGUUUUUUAAACAAGCUUAAAAAGCUACCAUGUCGGCGCCAUAUCCGGCUCAACGCCAUGCCUGUUGAUUGAGCCUAGUUCGCGUCGACGUUGUUUGCCGCGUCUUUAAGCAACUUCUUUUAAUCGGAAAAACUUGCAUACUAAAACGGUAUAAACGAAAAAAUUAAACAAAUCUUUCAGUUUCACUAGACCGAAAAUACAUCAAAAGGUAAGACCAAACAUUUCCUGAAAACUUUAAAGGCUUUUAUAUUAUUAGAGUAUUUAUUAACAUAUAACCCAAAUGUAAAAGCAAGAAUCAAAAGUUUGCAUGCGCCCAUUAUCAUGCCAAUCUAUGAAUAUGAGGAAACAAAUUAAUAUCACACGUAAAAUAAAAUCAGAACUAAUAAAAUAAUAAGAGAAGUUAUUCGUACAUAACAGUUUUUUGCCAUACACAAAAAUUUAUACAUUAUAUAGUUUUACAAUACAAUAUUUUAAAGAACUAAUUGUCGUNCUGCUUACACUUUAAUGUUGAUUUUUUUAUUUUAUUUUUUUUUUUUUUUUUAAAUUAACCCGUAUAAUAUACGGUUCUCACACAUAGUAAAAUAAUAAUGUAAAAGAUUAAAAAAGUUUACUAAGAAAAUUAAAGCAACAUAUUUAAUUAUUAAAUAUUAAUUGAAACUAAUAAUAUAAUAAUUAUAUUAAUAUAAUGAUUAAUAAAUAAUAAUCAUCGAAGUAAUAAUUAAAAUAAAAAAUGUAUAUAUAAUGUUAAUCUAUUAAGAAAAGUAAAAUUAACUAUUAAUUAUUAAUAAUUUACUUUUACAAACUACAACUAAUUAAUUAUUAGUAUUUAAUUUCGCAAUCUGCUAAUAAAAUAAUUAUUAAAAAGAUAUGAUAAGUAAAAAUGCAAUCUGAUAUAUUGGAACUCAAGACAAAACUGCACAGACAAAGUUCAGGAAAUGAGCAAGAAGGUAGGAGUUCUUAGGCGGCUAUAGCUAACAACUGCGCGCCACUCUCUUUUCUUACCAAUUUCCUUUACUCGGACUAUAUCGUUGACUAAAACAAUUGGUCAAUGUUCGAACAAACCAUUGGGGGAAUGAUCGUGUAUAAAUAGAUCCUUCAUAAAUGGUUACUUACACAUUCAUAUUCAUUCAAUCAUUGAAAAAAUGGCCUCAAUCUUAAAAGGAGGAAGACUUACCUUGGCUCUUAUCAUCCUCAUCGUCAUUAGUUCAUCAUCUCACAUCAUUACAACCACCGCCACUGCUCGGACUCCAUACAACCAUGAACGCCAACUAGGUUCGGUUUUCUCUAAACAUCUCAUAGUUAAUAAUAAAAAAAACGCUAAUAGAAGCUGCUCCGGUAUUUCUUAUAAAUUAACUAAGGUUGCAUUGUAAAUACGUGUAGUUAAUUUUUUUUUUCUUUUAAAUAAGAAAACAGUUUCAUUUUAUCUUACUUUCGGAGUUGUAGGGUUAUAUUCUUAUGAUUUUGUUUUCUAUAUUUAUUUCAUUCGUGUAAUUACUAUCAAUAGUCAAUAGCUAAUUUGUUUUCCAUUCAUCACCGGUUUUCCAGAUUUUCUGAUCAAACUAACCUUAUAUAAGAGUGCGUAUGUACAACUUGUCCUUCCCUAAUUAAAGAUUAAAAAUAUUAGAAAUUGAUGUAUGCAGCUACAAAUUGCGAUUAUGACCCCAUACAACAAAAUGAUGGACCCGACGGGUGUGGAAGUGGAAGUGGAAGUGGAAGUGGUGGAUCACCAAAACCAAAACCAAUACCAUGCGGUUCAAUGCCAGGUAGGAGCCUUUGUAGGAAGGGUUGCUGUGGAAAGACUAAAAUGGGAAGGGCCGAAUGUUGCUAGUAGUACCGGAGGUUGUACUACAUCACAUAAUGUAUCUGAAUCCCUUGUUUGGAUCAGAAAAUAAUAUUUCAAAUCAUUUCCACCCUCUGCUUUUCCUUAAAUUCUAUAUGUAAGUCUACAAAAAUUUUAUAUCCAGUUGUUCGAAUCUGGAGGAAAAGAUUCUAUCAUUAUAUUUGUCAAGAUGGUUCACAACUUUAGUAGAAGAAAACAGAAAUCAAACAUGGCUAGCUAACUUCAACUUGCACAAGUGGCAUGAGCUUCAUCCACGUAACUUUAGAUCCCAUAUCGACCUGAAAAUGUUGGUUAAUUUAAUGCUGAAUCAAGAUGGAAAUAUGGGUUGUUUGUAUAAGACCAAUAUCCUAAAACGGAGACUAACCAUUAAAGGCUAAUCAUGAUGGUGAUGUGGCAAUGAGCUAUUCGAAGGAACGACUGUGCACACCAUCAUGAAGGUUGACCGGUUAUGCAGUCAGAAUUGUAACAAAUUGAUAAAACGAGUGUCUAAUUUAAGAUUAAAAAAAAAUAGUCUCGAAAUCAGAUUUUUAUGAAAACUUAAUUACCAUAAUUUGCAAUAUUUAAAAUUUUGUGAACAUAAAUAUCAAGUGUUGGGUUGAAAAUUGAAACCAUAACAAUAGACAUAACUUAAUGUCUAUUUGAAUGAGUAAUUGAAGUUGCAAUGUAAACGUAAAC
rnacentral:lncRNA from 1 species